UACGUAGGGUGCGAGCGUUAAUCGGAAUUACUGGGCGUAAAGCGUGCGCAGGCGGUUUUGUAAGACAGGCGUGAAAUCCCCGGGCUCAACCUGGGAACUGCGUUUGUGACUGCAAGGCUAGAGUAUGGCAGAGGGGGGUGGAAUUCCACGUGUAGCAGUGAAAUGCGUAGAGAUGUGGAGGAACACCGAUGGCGAAGGCAGCCCCCUGGGCCAAUACUGACGCUCAUGCACGAAAGCGUGGGUAGCAAACAGG
rnacentral:rRNA from 2 species